rnacentral:rRNA from 1 species
AUUGAACGCUGGCGGCAGGCUUAACACAUGCAAGUCGAACGAGUGGCGGACGGGUGAGUAAUGUCUGGGAAACUGCCUGAUGGAGGGGGAUAACUACUGGAAACGGUAGCUAAUACCGCAUACCAUCGGAUGUGCCCAAAUGGGAUUAGCUAGUUGGUGGGGUAAAGGCUCACCAAGGCGACGAUCCCUAGCUGGUCUGAGAGGAUGACCAGCCACACUGGGACUGAGACACGGUCCAGACUCCUACGGGAGGCAGCAGUGGGGAAUAUUGCACAAUGGGGGCAAGCCUGAUGCAGCCAGGCCGCGUGAAUGAAGAAGGCCUUCGGGUUGUAAAGUACUUUCAGCGGGGAGGCGUUACCUGCAGAAGAAGCACCGGAUAACUCCGUGCCAGCCGCCGCGGUAAUUC